rnacentral:siRNA from 1 species
AAGAUUAAGCCAUGCAUGUGUA